GAUGAACGCUGGCGAGAUGCCUUACACAUGCAAGUCGUACGGGGAUUUUUAAUUCAAGUGGCGGACGGGUGAGUAACACGUAAGAAUUUGCCUUUAGGAGGGGGACAACAACUGGAAACGAAUGCUAAUACCCCAUAUGCUUUCGAGUGAAAUGGAUUUUAUCCGCCUAGAGAGAAGCUCGCGGCUGAUUAGCUUGUUGGUAAGGUAAGAGCUUACCAAGGCGACGAUCAGUAUCUGGUUUGAGAGGACGAUCAGACACACUGGAACUGAGACACGGUCCAGACUCCUACGGGAGGCAGCAGUGGGGAAUUUUCCGCAAUGGGCGAAAGCCUGACGGAGCAAUACCGCGUGAGGGAAGAAUGCCUAUGGGUUGUAAACCUCUUUUUUCAGGGAGGAAUAAAAUGACGUGUACCUGAAGAAUAAGCAUCGGCUAACUCCGUG
rnacentral:rRNA from 1 species